AGACCGGAAAGGCCAUGUGAAAAACUUUGCAUAUUUUAAGGAGGGCAUAGCAAAAGGCGACAAAGUUAAUGGCUUCUGUGGGACAAUCCCUUACAUGGCGCCCGAGAUUAUGCAUUACCGUAGAUUGGUACUCGUUCGGAGUUGUUCUCUACGAACUAUUAAUUAGCCCUGUCGAUUUACUAGAGUCUGAUGAAGCUACUUCUCACUACUGCCAAG